GUAAACAGGGGGCUCAUGAAGUCACUGAAGACCAAUGGGGAGCACGAAGCGAGGCCUGGGGCGGGGCUUGGUCCUGGCGACGGGCUUGGAUUGGCGCGCUGCGGAUCUCCCUGCUGCCUUACAAGGCGGUGCGAGGCGAGCUAUUUUUAGAGGGCUAUAUAAGGGAGAUUAGAAGACUAUUUUGCUCUUUAAUUGAUUCCUUGAAACAUUUCCUAGAUGAGGCCAUUAUUUGCAUUUUCCUGAUGGCUAAUCCAAAUGUAGAGCUUCUAAUGGUUGGGAUGAGACGCACACUAAGUUUGUGUCAGUCUAAAGUAAAAAGAAAGAGGAAUCACAAUACCUAGGCCCAUUUUUUUCAAAUGCUAAACCAUUUUUCCUUCCUAAUAACUGCCUAAAUAAAUAAAUAAAUAAAUAAACA
rnacentral:lncRNA from 1 species